GAGGCGGAGACGGGCUGCAAACGCGCGCGGGCCGCUGCGGUUCUGUCUGGCUCGCGCCGGGGCCGUUGGAGCCUCUCCCGGGCCGGAGAAGGAUAUUGGGGUUGAACUUCCUGGUUCAGACGCUGCUGCCUGCAUUGUGAUCUGGGAGCCCAGAUAGAGCAGCUGCUGCUCCCCCGGUGGGGUCUGGGCUCGGGAGUGACUUGGAGUGAAGCUUCCUCUGUGCCCAGGCAAGGGAACCGGUUGCUAAGAUUUUAGCAGCUCAUCACUGCCCUCAGUCCCAGCCCUUCCGCUCUUGGCCCCAGCCCUUCCGGGGGCCAGAGCUGGCCACAGCAUACAGCCCGUGUUUGGGUCGCACCAUGAUGUCACGGCUGUGUGGAGUGCAUUCGGAAUGAGGCAACCCAGAGCUGCUGGGCAACCUGUCACAUAGCUCCUCUUGCUGGAUUAUUUGCAUUUUUACUGGUAAGUUGAACUUAACCAUGGUUAUACAUUGUCUCUAUAAUAAUAAUUAUGUACUAUGCAUUAGCUAGCCCCAGCUGAUUCCGUGAUGCGAAAACACUU